rnacentral:rRNA from 1 species
AGAGUUUGAUCAUGGCUCAGGACGAACGCUGGCGGCGUGCUUAACACGUGCAAGUCGAGGGGGCCACUUCGGUGGUCACCGGCGAACGGGUGCGUAACACGUGAGCGACCUGCCCCACCGGUGGGGAAUAGUCGGCCCAACGGCCGGGUAAUACCGCAUUCGCUCUUUUCGGGGCAUCUCGGAGAGAGGAAAGCUCUGGGCAACCAGGGCGCCGGGGGAGGGGCUCGCGGCCUAUCAGCUAGUUGGAGGGGUAACGGCCCACCAAGGCUAUGACGGGUAGCUGGUCUGAGAGGAUGGCCAGCCACAUUGGGACUGAGAUACGGCCCAGACUCCUACGGGAGGCAGC